UAGCUUUUUUCCUAAGUCAAAGAUUUAGAAUUUUGACCAACUUUAUAGAAAAGAGUAGUAGCAUAUAUGAUAUCAAAUUGAUAUAUUAUGAAAGUACAUUUCAAAACGAAUCUAGUGGUACUAAUUUAGUGCCAUAAAUGCUGCUACGUUUUCCUAUAAAAUUGGUCAAAGUUUUAAAACUUUGACUUAGGACAAAAGCUAGA
rnacentral:pre_miRNA from 1 species